rnacentral:lncRNA from 1 species
UGCACCCAAGCCGUCAUGGUCGGCUUGCCUCCGCUUGUCCAGAAGUCUCCAGGCUUGGGGCCCUGAUUGCCAGCCGGUGACACUUGGUCUCCCAGCAGCUGCCCCUUGAGGGGAGCGAAGCAAGGUCAAGUUCUCCAGCAAACCCCAUCCGCCCCUCCCUCCUCCCCGCCAGAUCAGUGUGGGAUCGGCAGCGCCUCCCCCCGUAGCCCCUCCCUCCAGCCAUCCCGGCGCUGCCCACCCACCACACCGCUAGCGCCUCUGAACCUCGCCAGGCACGUCCGGUUCUGCGGCCCCCACUCCGCCCCCGCCUGCCGGGAGCCGCGCAGUUACAAAGUGCCGGGAGCCGUGCAGGGCCAGUGAACCCCUCGCUGAGACUCAGUUUGCUGCCAUCACAAGUGCUCUGAGAAUCCUGGAGAGGGAGGAUAUUGGAGACAAACGGGACUGCUGCCCGCCUUUUAGGCGACCGUUGGAGGCUGCUCUGUGCCGGACACAGGCAGGGAAAAUGUCAGCCCCGCGAGGGAAAUGGCAAAGGGAAGAUGACAGCAGACGAGAGAAACAACAGCCCCACCUGACACAGCCAGGACCCUGCGGAGAGGCGGCAGGAGCCCCCACUUCCUCGGGACUCAGCCUCUGCACCCCGGGACUGCCCAUGGCCCCUCUGAGGGCUCUCCUCACUCCUUCCUCCCUCAUUAGGGAAGAGGCCAGUACCCAGCAGCCAUGGCCCAAGCGCAGGUGGUCUGUUCUGUGCACCCAGCAUCCCCCUAGGGUCUAAACCAGCUCCCACAGCUCAGAAGUCAGCGGAGCAGAGUCCCCAGGAAACCAGGGUCAGGGAUGGAGGCUGCUGAGGAGCGGGUCUGGGAGGUGGAGGCCAGAUACAAGAAAACCACAGUACCAGUAAAUGACAAAGGCUGGAUCUUAACCCAAGUCCUCCGACUCUGAAGGCCAUACCCAACAGGUCCCAUUUUAUUUGUUUUACUUUUUUUUAAUUGAAGAAAAAAAAACUAGCAUUCCCCUACAGUGCCCCCCACCUGGUGGGGACAUCUUGGGUUGGCAAGGCCACCACUUUCAAGAGUAGAAGUGUUUUUCAGCAGGAGGAGUUGGCUGCACCAAAGGAGCUCAGGAGAAGCUGGAGUCUCAGGCCCAGCAGGAACAGCCAGAGGUUUUGCAGCUUUGCCCAGCGGCUGGGUUCGCCGAAGGGUCUCCCUGGGGGUUCCCAGCAUGAGCCGAAGCCACCCUCCCCUGUGGGAUCUGUGAGGCCAGGCAUUGGGCCUCUUUAGGCCUCAGUUUCCUCCCCUGUCAUAGGCAACUGACAGUCCCUCUGGAGCGCCACUGGGGCUGCAGAGGGAGGCCGGAGAGAUGGUGCCCCCCCUCCUCCCCGCCACCCCCACACACAGCCCUCAGCAGGAUGGUGGCUGCCUGGCCGAUUGCUUUUGCAUUUGCAGCAGAGCGGGGGAGUGAGGCCAAGCUGAGUGCCCCCUCCCCCUGCCCAGCCAGCUCAGACCCAGGCGGUGGAGCAGGAAGGCUCUGGGGAAAACAGUGUGAGUCACCGGGCGGCCAGAGUGUGUCCUUCCCUGCUAGCGCACUACACGGCAGGUUUCAUAGGUAAUGAUGUCAUUUAUGAGGCUCCCGCUUGGGGCUGUGUCUGAGUCAGCCUGGCUGUGUCGUGACCAAGCGGAGGCUGGCAGCAGCGAGGCGUGGGCACGGGCUCUGCCGCCGGGCUCUGGCCUCUGCCCCCUCGUGGGGCCCAGGCUGCCAGCCCCAGGCCUGGAACGGGCAGGCAGUGGGGCUGGGGGAGCCGUUUGAGACCUCGGAUUGAUGAAGAAGCAUGCAUUUUCGUGACCCUGGCUCCUGCCUUGGAACGGGGGGCUCGCAUGCAGUGGAGGGGGACCCAGGAGUGAGCCCCGACUUCAGGAGGUUGCUCCCUGCAAAGUGCUUGUUGGGCGAAGGCCAGUGACAUUCUGUGCGAAUCCCUGCUGAAGGCAGAUGGCCUCCGUUGUUAAACCUCCCGCUUAACAAACAUCAUCUCCGAACAUACAGACACACAAACAUAUUUACAUUUUUAUAAUGUGUAUUUAUUAUUCAAAUAGCUUGACAGCAAAGUGUUUGAAAACGAAGAGCAGGAAUUCCGCGGUUCCUGCCCGGCCUCGCCAUCCAGCUGGGAGAAGAGCAUGGUCAUUUC